rnacentral:rRNA from 1 species
GACGGAGGGUGCAAGCGUUGUUCGGAAUUACUGGGCGUAAAGGGCGCGUAGGCGGUCUGUUAAGUUCGGUGUGAAAGCCCCCGGCUCACCUGGGGAACUGCGCCGGAAACCGACAGACUCGAGUACCGGAGAGGAGGGUGGAAUUCCUGGUGUAGCGGUGAAAUGCGUAGAUAUCAGGAGGAACACCGGUAGGCGAAGGCGGCCCUCUGGACGGAUACUGACGCUGAGGCGCGAAAGCGUGGGGAGUCAAACAGG